GCUCCCGUCGGGUAGUGGUCUACCCUGCCUGCGUCCUGCGCGGGUGUCGCGCGUUCGAUUCGCGCGGGAGCA
rnacentral:tRNA from 1 species